GCAUCCAGUCGCGAGCCUAGGGUUUCCCCUCACCCUCUCUUCCUCCUCCCUGCCGCCGCAGCUUCUCCUCGCGGCUCUCCUCGCUCUGCUCCCGCAGCAGCAGCAGAUCCAUGGGGAGCUACUGUCGGAGUUCGUCGCUGGCGUGAGGAGCCAGUGCAGCCCCGAAGACCGCAUCCACGAGCUCGCCAAGCACGCCAGGGAGCCAAGGCCGAGCCAAGAUUACCGUCGCUAGUGUCCUCUUCUUUCUCGUCCUACAACCUUGGACCUGAAGGAUCGCCGGAGUUCGUCGCCUCGCGAUUACCUCAUCGUUGCUUCCCCGUCGCCAACUUCAUGUCCUAUGUAGGGGAGCAUCAGGUGCCGUGAAUGAGUACGUGGAUCCCGUUGAGAACGUUCCUGAAGAGCAAGAGUUUCAUCCCUCACAAGAAGUGGCACGCAAGAUGAUCAUUGACCUUGAUAUCAUUUCUAAUUUUGUUAUGCUUAGGUGUCUCAUUUCUAUUGCUAAUUUUCACUACCUACCACCUGAAUAUCAAGCCUCCUAAAAGUACCAUGAAAAGCCUCUAAUCCCCUCCACAUCCUAGCAAACAUUGAUUGGCUAGGUUAGCGCUUGCUCAAACCUUCUUAUAGCGUUGCUAGUUGCAGGUGAAGGUUGAUCCAUGUGUUGACAUGGAUAUUUGGAACAUCAUUAUUAUUGCUAUUUAAUUUAAUGCACACAUAUA